rnacentral:rRNA from 1 species
UACGUAGGGCGCAAGCGUUGUCCGGAAUUAUUGGGCGUAAAGAGCUCGUAGGCGGUUUGUCGCGUCUGCUGUGAAAGUCCGAGGCUCAACCUCGGAUCUGCAGUGGGUACGGGCAGACUAGAGUGUGGUAGGGGAGACUGGAAUUCCUGGUGUAGCGGUGGAAUGCGCAGAUAUCAGGAGGAACACCAAUGGGCGAAGGCAGGUCUCUGGGCCACAACUGACGCUGGAGGAGCGAAAGCGUGGGGAGCAAACAGG